CCUACGGGAGGCAGCAGUGAGGAAUAUUGGUCAAUGGUCGGGAGACUGAACCAGCCAAGCCGCGUGAGGGAUGAAGGUACAGAGUAUCGUAAACCUCUUUUGUCAGGGAACAAAGGCGGGGACGUGUCCCCGGAUGAGUGUACCUGAAGAAAAAGCAUCGGCUAACUCCGUGCCAGCAGCCGCGGUAAUAGGGGGGAUGCGAGCGUUAUCUGGAUUUAUGGGGUUUAAAGGGUGCGCAGGCGGUCUGUUAUGUCAGCGGUAAAAGCCCGGGGCUCAACCCCGACCCGCCGUUGAGACUGGCAGUCUCGAGUUGGAGAGAAGUAUGCGGAAUGCGCGGUGUAGCGGUGAAAUGCAUAGAUAUCGCGCAGAACUCCGAUUGCGAAGGCAGCAUGCCGGCUCCACACUGACGCUGAGGCACGAAAGCGUGGGUAUCGAACAGGAUUAGAUACCCUGGUAGUC
rnacentral:rRNA from 1 species